CCUCAGCGAAAUAAGCAACUAUACAAUAUCAACCAUCAAAAACCAAUCUACAAUUAUGCCUUAACUCUCGAAUCUCAAGCCAUCAUCACUGGUAUAGUGUGUGUGUGUGUGUGUCGCAUCCAUGACAAUCGAUAUUAACUCAAAUUCAAUACAUAACCAGUCUCUUAGAAGGAAUCAUGUAGCACAAACUCAAAAAUUUCAAAAAUAGAUAGUUCCAACUAAAAUCAAGCAAUCCCAAAUCUCAAGGGAUCACGCGGGGUACUUAUGCUUUAUUCCAAAAAAAUUUCUUCUUUCUUUCUCUUUUUUUUCAUAUAAAUACGGGGGCUUUUUGCUCUUAUUUCCCAUUUUAUUUUUAUACACAUAGCUAUGCAUUGUCUUAUUCCCUUAGGCUUUUCAAUGCUACCUUAACGAGCUUUCGACCAAUGACUCCCAGACCAUUAAGACCUUAGGGUGCUAGGUGUAAAGACAAUCCCCUCGGGCUUACUUACUCAAGUAACAAAGGCCACAAAACUAGACAAGCACGCUACGGUGUUUAUUCAUUUUUUUUAUAAGCUUAUAUACCCCACAUAACAUCCCCCAACUUAAGUUCUUGCCUAACUUUAGCCUUUACUGGCCAUCCUUGUCAUUUUAUCAUUCACUCUAGAAUUAUCCUUUAGAGACCAUUUAGGUACCGGUUUGAACUUGACCAAUCAACACAGAUGUUUGUUACUCGUGCUAUCCUUUUAAACCAGUUUCAAACAAACUCAAGAUUCGAUUCAUAAACGAUCAUUGUGUCAUAGUUCUAAUACCCAAUAUUGUAUUUGCUACUUAUUUGACAUUCUCAU
rnacentral:lncRNA from 1 species